rnacentral:rRNA from 1 species
GACGAACCGUGCGAACGUUGUUCGGAAUCACUGGGCUUAAAGGGCGCGUAGGCGGGCUCAAAAAGUCAGGGGUGAAAUCCCCACGGCUCAACCGUGGAAGUGCCUUUGAUACUGUGAGUCUUGAGGGAGGUAGGGGCGUGCGGAACUUCCGGUGGAGCGGUGAAAUGCGUAGAUAUCGGAAGGAACACCGGUGGCGAAAGCGGCGCGCUGGACCUCUUCUGACGCUGAGGCGCGAAAGCCAGGGGAGUAAACGGG